rnacentral:sRNA from 1 species
UACAAAAUGAGUUGAGAAUCGUACAGU